AGGAGACAAAACAUUUAAUGUGAAAGGCUUUAAAUGGAAGCAGGAAAUGAAAAGAUAAAGGGCAAAUUUUAUUUUAGAUUCCUUGUUGGUACAUAUUUUCCUUCCUGACGGUGAGGGGAUGCGAUGGCUUUAUCAGCCCCCUGCUCAAGAGCCUAUUUAUAGAACCCUCAUGCUUUGCAAGAAGGUGGGAGGGGGAGCGAAUGCAGGUUGUAAGCAGAGCAGGGAAGGGGUGAACGCACUACUCCCUCUUCUCUGAGCAGACCAGGAUUCUGGGAAAACAGCUUGUGCCAUAGAAACCAUCAACACAGCCUGCAGGGAGCGAGCAGGAGCACAGCAGCAAGAGCAGCAUGAAACCAGCUUCUCUGCUGCCAAGGGACACGAGGGAGAGCACCACAGCAAACAUCUCCAUUCAAAGCAAACGUGCACGUGCCAUGACACCAAACCAAAGAUUCUUUCCGAACCCUGAAUACGUUUUGGUUGUAACCUAGCAACCCAGGCUGAAGGAAAGCACCGAGGCAGGUCCCGAGGAGAUGAGCCCAGCCUUGCCCUUUGUUCCACACCUUAGGGACAGCUCAGCAGCCCCGAAGACGUUGGACAAGCGUGGCCGCCACAGAGCCAGCACCACUCACACUGCUGGGAACCUGCCCCUUCGUAAUCCAGACCUACACGGGGAGAUUAAUUAAACAUUUCUUCCACCAAACGGGAGUGAGUCAGCCCUGCCCGCCGGCGUUACACAACGAUGAUUCAGAGCGCUGUCGCCGUCUCACGAGCAGACUUUGAAGAAGUGAAGGCUCGCGGCGCACGUAUUCUGAGUCACUGACACUCAGGUGAGAGAGGAAUUGAAAGCAGAGCCCAAGGACAACUCCCAAGGACUUGCUGGCAUUCAUGCAAGGUUUGCCCACGUGUGCUCUACUCACCAGGCAACCUUGGAAACCUGGAGUAGCUGGCAGGUGAGCAAACCGCAGCCUGGGGAUGCAGCAGCGCUGGGGACCUGCAGCAGCCUGGAGGAGAACCAAGACUUCAGGCAGAGGCCGCUGACACCGCACACCCAACACAGAAGGGAUCUGCCUGGAGAGAACAGGGAACCCACCAUGCUCCAGGCAUCCUCGGUUACCACGGCCUUACUGCUCAGUGCCAUUCCCCUGUGUGAAGAAACGCUUUACAGUGGACCACAGGAAUACCCACCAACGCGCUAAGCUAAUAUUUACAGUACCCCAAUCCUCAAAGCUGUCAGUCACUUCAAAACGCAGCUGAACAAGACAACUGCCUUCCAUGCUCUCCUUAAUGCCAGCUAGUCCCAAAAUACAGACUGAAUUUGCAACCAAACACUCGAGUCUGCUGGCUACUGCACUGAGAUCACCGAGCGUCACAAGGAUCCAUGCUGUCUCAUUAGGCUGUCGCGCAGUCCCAUGCCAUCUUCAGUGUUAUACUUAGAAACCACCAGCUCCCUGGAGCAGGAUCCAUUCGAUCCGCGUGAGCAAAAGCACUUGGAACAGCCUGCAAAUCCUCAACAGAAAUAAAAGACUUACUUGCUCCAAGGGAUCCCAAGGCAUGUGGGCUGCUACCUACUGGAGAGAAUGCUCUGCUGACCUACGUAACCCAAUCCCUUUGCUGAAAGGAUGCAGCUCCACACAAUAUCAAAGCUCUGUUUUUGCUAGGAGUACUGAAUAAAAGAGUCACCUGAGGAACAACACGUACACAGGCAAGUUUAGCAAGUGUACUGUCCUCCCAAGACCGUGGGCAAGACACCAGAACCACCACUUCUAAGCCCUGCAGUAAGCACAACGUAACGGUUAGCAGGCACAACAUCAGCGCCUGUUACUUCAUCUUUUACUUCAGCUGCAAAACAGUGUGUUCAUGAACGCGAUGUGCCUCGUUGCAAGGGCUGGACAACACGCUCAGAAGGAAUGCCUGCUGCUGCCAAUUUGUUUGAGGACCAUACGUUCUAUUUAGAAGCUCGCCUAAAGCACUGACAAAGCGAGUCUCUGAUGAUCUUCUGAAAUCUAAUGAAGCUUUUUGUGCACACCACACAGGAUGUCAAAUUACACAUCAGUCAACGUCAAGAAAGAUCAUUUUGGAACAGCAGGCUUCC